rnacentral:rRNA from 1 species
UAAAGGAAUUGGCGGGGGAGCACUACAACGGGUGGAGCCUGCGGUUUAAUUGGAUUCAACGCCGGGAAGCUCACCGGGGGAGACAGCUGGAUGAAGGUCGGGCUGAAGACCUUACCAGACUAGCUGAGAGGUGGUGCAUGGCCGCCGUCAGUUCGUACUGUGAAGCAUCCUGUUAAGUCAGGCAACGAGCGAGACCCGCGCCCCCAGUUGCCAGCGGAUCGCUUCGGCGAUGCCGGGAACACUGGGGGGACUGCUGGCGCUAAGCCGGAGGAAGGUGCGGGCUACGGCAGGUCCGUAUGCCCCGAAUCCCCCGGGCUACACGCGGGCUACAAUGGCCGGGACAAUGGGAUCCGACCCCGAAAGGGGAAGGGAAUCCCCUAAACCCGCCCUCAGUUCGGAUCGCGGGCUACAACUCGCCCGCGUGAAGCUGGAAUCCCUAGUACCCGCGUGUCAUCAUCGCGCGGCGAAUACGUCCCUGCUCCUUGCACACACCGCCA